AAAGAACAACACGCAUGUUUGAUUCUUCUUCUCAAAAGAACGCAGCUCGAAAACAUAAAAUCCCAAAUUGAUUCUUGUUCUUAUAUUGGUUCAUCCCCAAAUUGAAUCUACUUCUCAAAAUCAAUUCCGGUCGAAAAGAAAACACAAACUGGCGCAUGAUUCUGCUCACAAACUAAACCCUAAUUCGUUUCGUUGUGUUGAUUGUGCUCACAAACUCAGAAAUUGAUUCUUCUCCCUAAACUCAUGAACCCUAAUCCGUUCAGUUGUUGACCUGAGAAAGAUGAAGAAACGCGAUUCAUUCCAAGAAAGCAACAAACCCCAGCCUCAUUAAAAGAAACGCGAUUCCUUCACUACGUGCUUUUCGUCUCGACAAAACGCUAUUCUUUCCUUUCGUUCCGACAUCUAUUCUGGCAAGGUACUCACACUUUGAUUCAUUUUCAAAUCUUAUAUGGGAGGAGAGAAGGGUAGAAAACUCGUUGUUUGUUAUUAGGUGGAGAAUGUGGUUCUCUGCAAGGGGUUUCUCUUUUGCACUAGUUUGUUAUUAAUCCGUAAUAAAGUUUCUAUUAUGCCAUCUUAGGCUAAUGUAAUUUUGAACGGGAGAUGUUUAGAUAAACAGUUUAAUUUUUAUUCAAUAAGCACUUAUUGUGUAAGUGCUUAUGUAUAUCUAUAAUGAGAAAAAAAAAUGAUGGUCACAUAAAAUUCUGAACAAGCUUUUUGAUCAACUGUACUAGGGAGUUUAGUAAACUAAACUUUAACUUGGAUAAUUUUGAAGUAUUUUCUAGCUAUGUCUAAGAAAUAAGAAUAGUGAAACAUUUAUGCUUGUAUUCAAUUUUUUUGGUGGUGCAUAUUGUGUGAAGUUGACGGAGGAGUUUGUCGGGGAUUGGUGGGAGUGAUUUAGGGGAUUUGGGUGAUUGGAGUAUUUUGGAGAGGUGUUAUAUGGAAAGAAUGUUGGUGGCUAAGAUUGCUAUUAGGAGGAGGAGGUUUACAGUCAUGGUGCUGAAGGUGACAUAUCUUCUAUUCGGAGAUUCUUUACAAUUUAGAAAUGCAAAUGUUUUAUUUGUUACCAUUUUUAAUUUAUAGAUUUGGAGCUAUAGAUUUCUAUGGUGCAUAGACAUAUCGAAACAAUUGCUUGAUUGCUGUUGAUGUGCUUACAGGUUUGUCGUCAAGUUGAUUACACCAGUGUCUGUGUUUUUUGCCUUUUGAUAUCAUUAACUCUUGCAGUAAAAACUGUUGACUAGCGAGUAUGUGGCAAAUUGCAAAAUAAUAUGCAACAGGUAGUUUGAGUUUGUAUCAUUUUGAUUCAUGCUAUAAUAUCUAUGAGAAUUCUGCAUAAUUGGUACUGAUUAAGAUGCCUAUACUGAUUUGAGAUGAUUGAUUCUAUGAUCAUCUUUGUUAAAGAAUCAAGUAUUGUUGAACUUCAUAAGGGUACUUUUAAUGUGUUCUCAAUUUAAUUUUUAUGUUCAAAUUUCAGAACCAUUGAAGAUUGCUAUAGAUACAUAUCCAAUUAACUCCUAUUAUAUAGUAUAAUCUCCUUUGUUUUUUAUUUUCUUCAUGUGUAUUAAUAUAUAAAAGGUUUGUUUUGACAAUGAAUAAUAACAGGUUGGAUUCAUUGUGGAUUUUAUAGCAUGCUGCAAUUGUGAUUCGUCUUCAACAGUUGAAGGGACUCGCUGCCACGCUACACCACUAUAGCGCGCAAUUAACAACACAGACCUGACUGAUUAAUAGCGUCAUGGCAAAGACAAGGUCUAAUAGUUUAUAAAAUCUUGACUUAAUUUUUUCUUCUUUUUCUUCCUCUUGAAGAUAUUAUGUUUCGUUCUUUUUCUUUUUCUUGUGAUCCUGCUGUUUUAAGAUCAGGCAAAGCUCAUGUCUUAGUCUAUGGAAUGUAAGGAACAAUAGCUGAGGUAAAGCUUUAACUUGUCUAUAUGGUACCUCAAUUCUUACUUACAAUAUCCUUAAUUAAUUUGUUUUCUGCUUCUGCAUUGUUUUACUUUUUUGUUUUGGUUUUUUACAUCUUUUUUUUGUUUAUCCUUUUAUGUUAAGAGAGUCUGAAAGUAAAGCUUUCACUCGAGCCGAAAGCUGAAAAAUGCUUUACAUGGAAUGGUCUAGAGUUAAGAGUAAAAUAAUCUGAUGUGUCCAUAGAUUUUAUCUAGUAUUGUCGUAUUAGUAAUUCUUAUUAUUCUAUACUAUUCAAAAACUGUGCAAAACCAAUUUCUAUACUAUUCAAAAAACUUAUUGUGUUUUGUAAAAAACGACUUAUUGUCUUUGGUGUUUAUGUAUUCGUGUAUUUGAUCUUUGCUUACAUAUUGUAAUCCUCCUGGUCGGUAACCCUCACUAGUUUGAUGGAGCCAUGAUGGAAGAAACAUAUGGGAGGAAACAAAAAGAGGAGAGUGGUGAAGCUAGAUAAAGAAUCUAACAAUAGAGUGAAUCAAUUUUAUUGAACUGUCUCGUAGUUACAUCUUCUAAAUAAUUUUAAAUAAGGAAAUAUGAAGAGAAAUUGGUCAAAGAGUUAGCCGAAAUUUUUCCCAAUUUCAAACCACGUCAUUCACAUAUUUUCGUGAAUCACACUCGCACAUACUAUUAAGCAAUUUCCUUUAAUUAUAGUACUUUUAUUUUGCAGAUGGUGAAUAAUGAUGAUAUCGAUGAAGAAAUGCAGGAUUUUGAAGAUGAAGAGAGAUGUAGAUGUUUAAGUUUUGUAAUAGGAUAUACAUUUUGAAGAUGUUAGUUUGAUUGUGAAUGAUUCACGUUAGGAUAUAUAUACAUUAAAGAUCCAAUAACUCUUUGCUGAUCA
rnacentral:lncRNA from 1 species